rnacentral:rRNA from 1 species
GCAGUCGAACGGCGCCGGGAGCAAUCCUGGUGGCGAGUGGCGAACGGGUGAGUAAUAUAUCGGAACGUGCCCAGUCGUGGGGGAUAACGUAGCGAAAGCUACGCUAAUACCGCAUACGAUCUAUGGAUGAAAGCGGGGGAUCGCAAGACCUCGCGCGAUUGGAGCGGCCGAUAUCAGAUUAGGUAGUUGGUGGGGUAAAAGCCUACCAAGCCUUCGAUCUGUAGCUGGUCUGAGAGGACGACCAGCCACACUGGAACUGAGACACGGUCCAGACUCCUACGGGAGGCAGCAGUGGGGAAUUUUGGACAAUGGGCGCAAGCCUGAUCCAGCAAUGCCGCGUGCAGGAUGAAGGCCUUCGGGUUGUAAACUGCUUUUGUACGGAACGAAACGGCUCUUUCUAAUAAAGGGAGCUAAUGACGGUACCGUAAGAAUAAGCACCGGCUAACUACGUGCCAGCAGCCGCGGUAAUACGUAGGGUGCGAGCGUUAAUCGGAAUUACUGGGCGUAAAGCGUGCGCAGGCGGUUAUGUAAGACAGAUGUGAAAUCCCCGGGCUCAACCUGGGACCUGCAUUUGUGACUGCAUAGCUAGAGUACGGUAGAGGGGGAUGGAAUUCCGCGUGUAGCAGUGAAAUGCGUAGAUAUGCGGAGGAACACCGAUGGCGAAGGCAAUCCCCUGGACCUGUACUGACGCUCAUGCACG